rnacentral:rRNA from 1 species
UUGGAGGGCAAGUCUGGUGCCAGCAGCCGCGGUAAUUCCAGCUCCAAUAGCGUAUAUUAAAGUUGUUGCAGUUAAAAAGCUCGUAGUUGAAUUUCGGGAUUAGUACGCUGGUCGUGCCUUCGGUACGUACUGGUGUUACUGAUUCCUACCUUCUGACGAACCAUCAUGUCAUUAAUUUGGUGUGGCGGGGAAUCAGGACUGUUACUUUGAAAAAAUUAGAGUGUUUAAAGCAGGCUCGCGCUUGAAUACAUUAGCAUGGAAUAAUGAGAUAGGACGUUGAUCCUAUUUUGUUGGUUUCUAGGAUCACCGUAAUGAUUAAUAGGGAUGGUUGGGGGCAUUAGUAUUCAAUUGUCAGAGGUGAAAUUCUUGGAUUUAUUGAAGACUAACUUCUGCGAAAGCAUUUGCCAAGGAUGUUUUCAUUAAUCAAGAACGAAAGUUAGGGGAUCGAAGACGAUCAGAUACCGUCGUAGUCUUAACCAUAAACUAUGCCGACUAGGGAUCGGAUGAUGUUAUUUUUAAUGACUCAUUCGGCGCCUUACGGGAAAC